AUAUCUGCCAUAGAGGUCAAUAUUUCACAUAGUCCUCCCACUAUAUAUCUGCCAUAGAGGUCAAUAUUUCACAUAGUCCUCCCACUAUAUAUCUGCCAUAGAGGUCAAUAUUUCACAUAGUCCUCCCACUAUAUAUCUGCCAUAGAGGUCAAUAUUUCACAUAGUCCUCCCACUAUAUAUCUGCCAUAGAGGUCAAUAUUUCACAUAGUCCUCCCACUAUAUAUCUGCCAUAGAGGUCAAUAUUUCACAUAGUCCUCCCACUAUAUAUCUGCCAUAGAGGUCAAUAUUUCACAUAGUCCUCCCACUAUAUAUCUGCCAUAGAGGUCAAUAUUUCACAUAGUCCUCCCACUAUAUAUCUGCCAUAGAGGUCAAUAUUUCACAUAGUCCUCCCACUAUAUAUCUGCCAUAGAGGUCAAUAUUUCACAUAGUCCUCCCACUAUAUAUCUGCCAUAGAGGUCAAUAUUUCACACUCCAGAAUGAAAAUAGAAUCAGCUUGAAUUCAGUUUGAUGUCUUAUUAUGAAGCAUUCAGUCAUUCUCAGACUGCUCACAUAGUAGUGCUGCUUACAUCCCUUUCCCUAGAUGUACAUUAGUAAUUAAUGUGAUGAACAGUCAUUCCAAUAUGAUGUAUGGUAUUUCAAUAAAUUAUGUAAUGAGACAAAGAUUCAAUGAACAAUAAUAACUAAUGCAUUCUGUUUUACAUGAUCAUUAUUCAUGACUCUCCAUCUUGGAUAAUGGAUGAUCAGUAUUAGGUGAGUAAUUACUUAUUUGUCUGUUUUGUUUAUUGACAACCAAUAACACAAGACAAAGAACAGACCAGAGUGUUAAUCUGAUACUAUAAAAACUACAGGCCUUGUGAACAGCAGUGUGUCUUCUUCAAGGUUACAAAUUAAAUCAGUUUCUUUACGUUUAUCAAUACUCUCCCCAAAUGUUCUCAAGGUUGGUUGGAUAAAGAUGUAUAGAUGUUCUUCAAAUUAUCCAGAAUUUUCACAUCAUAGAUCUCCCACAAUAUAUCUGCCAUGGAGGUCAACAUUUCACAUAGUUCUCACACAAUAUAUCUGUCAAAGAGGUCAACAUUUCACCUUUCCCUCCCACAAAAUAUCUGUUGUAGAGCUCAACAUUUUAGAGGGGUUGAGUUAAAUGUGUAACGGUGUUCGUCUGUUGAAGGAGAAGCGGACCAAAAUGCAGCGUGGUGGUUACUCAUGUUCUUUAAUGAAGAA